CCUACGGGAGGCAGCAGUAGGGAAUCUUCGGCAAUGGACGAAAGUCUGACCGAGCAACGCCGCGUGAGUGAAGAAGGUUUUCGGAUCGUAAAGCUCUGUUGUAAGAGAAGAACGAGUGUGAGAGUGGAAAGUUCACACUGUGACGGUAUCUUACCAGAAAGGGACGGCUAACUACGUGCCAGCAGCCGCGGUAAUACGUAGGUCCCGAGCGUUGUCCGGAUUUAUUGGGCGUAAAGCGAGCGCAGGCGGUUAGAUAAGUCUGAAGUUAAAGGCUGUGGCUUAACCAUAGUACGCUUUGGAAACUGUUUAACUUGAGUGCAAGAGGGGAGAGUGGAAUUCCAUGUGUAGCGGUGAAAUGCGUAGAUAUAUGGAGGAACACCGGUGGCGAAAGCGGCUCUCUGGCUUGUAACUGACGCUGAGGCUCGAAAGCGUGGGGAGCAAACAGGAUUAGAUACCCUGGUAGUC
rnacentral:rRNA from 1 species